rnacentral:rRNA from 1 species
UACGAAGGGGGUUAGCGUUGCUCGGAAUCACUGGGCGUAAAGCGCACGUAGGCGGAUUGCUAAGUCAGGGGUGAAAUCCUGGAGCUCAACUCCAGAACUGCCUUUGAUACUGGCGAUCUUGAGUCCGGGAGAGGUGAGUGGAACUGCGAGUGUAGAGGUGAAAUUCGUAGAUAUUCGCAAGAACACCAGUGGCGAAGGCGGCUCACUGGCCCGGUACUGACGCUGAGGUGCGAAAGCGUGGGGAGCAAACAGG